GAUGAACGCUAGCUACAGGCUUAACACAUGCAAGUCGAGGGGAAACGACAUCGAAAGCUUGCUUUUAAUGGGCGUCGACCGGCGCACGGGUGAGUAACGCGUAUCCAACCUGCCCACCACUUGGGGAUAACCUUGCGAAAGUAAGACUAAUACCCAAUGAUAUCCCACGAAGGCAUCCGAAUGGGAUUAAAGAUUUAUCGGUGAUGGAUGGGGAUGCGUCUGAUUAGCUUGUUGGCGGGGUAACGGCCCACCAAGGCAACGAUCAGUAGGGGUUCUGAGAGGAAGGUCCCCCCACAUUGGAACUGAGACACGGUCCAAACUCCUACGGGAGGCAGCAGUGAGGAAUAUUGGUCAAUGGGCGAGAGCCUGAACCAGCCAAGUAGCGUGCAGGAUGACGGCCCUAUGGGUUGUAAACUGCUUUUAUAAGGGAAUAAAGUGAGCCUCGUGAGGCUUUUUGCAUGUACCUUAUGAAUAAGGACCGGCUAAUUCCGUG
rnacentral:rRNA from 1 species